CGGGGGGCGGGGAGGUCCCUCAGCCUGGAUUGCGAGAGGGCGCAGGCCAGGCCGAGGGACCUCACAAGUGCACG
rfam:Myotis lucifugus cont2.43649, whole genome shotgun sequence.